rnacentral:rRNA from 1 species
GCUCCAAUAGCGUAUACUAACAUUGCUGUGGUUAAAAAGCUCGUAGUUGGAAGUCGGACAAGAGCGUGUUUUGUUUGAACGAGUGUAAGGAACGUUGUUUUUCUGCUUGUUCCUUGUUCUGCAUCUUGUCGUACUUCGUUGUUUUUUUCCUUUUAGAAGAACAACGUCAGUCACUGUGAGUAAUCAACGUGUUCAAAGCA